CCUACGGGAGGCAGCAGUGGGGAAUAUUGGACAAUGGGGGGAACCCUGAUCCAGCCAUGCCGCGGGUGUGAAGAAGGCCCUCGGGUUGUAAAGCACUUUCAGUGAGGAAGAACGCCUGGUGGUUAAUACCCAUCAGGAAAGACAUCACUCACAGAAGAAGCACCGGCUAACUCCGUGCCAGCAGCCGCGGUAAUACGGAGGGUGCGAGCGUUAAUCGGAAUUACUGGGCGUAAAGCGCGCGUAGGUGGCUUGAUAAGCCGGUUGUGAAAGCCCCGGGCUCAACCUGGGAACGGCAUCCGGAACUGUCAAGCUAGAGUGCAGGAGAGGAAGGUAGAAUUCCCGGUGUAGCGGUGAAAUGCGUAGAGAUCGGGAGGAAUACCAGUGGCGAAGGCGGCCUUCUGGACUGACACUGACACUGAGGUGCGAAAGCGUGGGUAGCAAACAGGAUUAGAUACCCCUGUAGUC
rnacentral:rRNA from 1 species